UGUUCCCUGCGGUGUUCGUGAGGUUCAUAACUUCUUAGAACCAAUGAGCUUAAUGCUACGGUUGCGCCCCACUCAAAUCGCCGUUGUGAUCGUCCCCUGCGGAUGAACCUGAAGCGACCGGGAACCGACCCCUCUUGAACCCCGGUUCAAGAACAUUGGACCAACGGCACAGGCGGGGAACUC
rnacentral:other from 1 species